AUUAAUGAACUUGAAUAAGUAUAUACUUUGAAAGUAUAAAAAAGAAGUUCAGUCUUCUAUUGAU
rnacentral:tRNA from 1 species